AUGGAAUUUAUGCAGUUCGUCUGGGACGCAUUGUCGGCAAUAGGAUUAUGGGUUCUGGCAGCAGCAUUCCAAAUGGCCAUCAAUUUCUGUGCUCAAAUAGUUUUUAUGUCCCGAAGUUCGAGAUGAAACGAAACCAAAACAAAGCCAAACCAAACAAAACAUAACAGAACAGAUUAGUGCCUGUUGCUUGACUCUCCGAAACUUUUCCGCAGCCAGUGCCAAUGAAUUAUAAAAACUUGACGUCAGUGUCUCGGUUUGUGUUAAAAGCCGCUAGAAAAACUAAUUGAAAUAGCUGGAAGAACGUUUGUUAUAGACGACAGCAAACCGGUUUUCAGCAGCUGCGUAUAAUUUAUAUGAGCAGGGAAAGAGAUGGCGGAGGGAGACAAAUUGCACCAAGUAGAAUACAUUUGAACGUAUACAAGUAUUUAGUAAGUGUAGCAGCGUGUUCCAAUUGCGAAAGCCAAGCAGCCAAAGUGGCAGGCAGGCCGGUCGAGCCCAGAAGGCAGCAACGACGUUAACUUUGGCGAUAAGGUGAUUACGACAAGUUAUCUUAUCUGCGGGCGUGACUAAUUGCCGCAAAUGAAAGGCAUGGAUGCCUGACUGGUCGAAGCAACAAAUUUCUAGCCUGCUGCUACUUUAAGUACCACAGGCAUGGCAGGGAAAUAUUUAAAGAAAAAAACCAAAAACAAUGAAAAAAAAACAAGAAAUAAAAAUGUGCAGACAUUCGCUUGAGGUA